AGUGAACGCUGGCGGUAGGCCUAACACAUGCAAGUCGAACGGCAGCACAGUAAGAGCUUGCUCUUACGGGUGGCGAGUGGCAGACGGGUGAGGAAUACAUCGGAAUCUACUUUUUCGUGGGGGAUAACGUAGGGAAACUUACGCUAAUACCGCAUACGACCUACGGGUGAUAGCAGGGGAUCUUCGGACCUUGCGCGAUUGAAUGAGCCGAUGUCGGAUUAGCUAGUUGGCGGGGUAAAGGCCCACCAAGGCGACGAUCCGUAGCUGGUCUGAGAGGAUGAUCAGCCACACUGGAACUGAGACACGGUCCAGACUCCUACGGGAGGCAGCAGUGGGGAAUAUUGGACAAUGGGCGCAAGCCUGAUCCAGCCAUACCGCGUGGGUGAAGAAGGCCUUCGGGUUGUAAAGCCCUUUUGUUGGGAAAGAAAAGCAGCAGGUUAAUACCCCGCUGUUCUGACGGUACCCAAAGAAUAAGCACCGGCUAACUUCGUG
rnacentral:rRNA from 1 species